GCUGGGUGUGGUGGCGCAUGCCUGUAAUCCCAGCUACUUGGGAGACUGAGGUGGGAGAAUCGCUUGACCCCGGAAGGUGGAGGUUGCAGUGAGCAGAGAUCAUGCCACUGCAUUCCAGUCUGGGGGACACAGUGAGAUUCUAUCUCAA
ensembl:misc_RNA Metazoa_SRP Metazoan signal recognition particle RNA